UACGUAGGGUGCAAGCGUUAAUCGGAAUUACUGGGCGUAAAGCGUGCGUAGGCGGUUUGUCGCGUCUGCUGUGAAAACCCGAGGCUCAACCUCGGGCCUGCAGUGGGUACGGGCAGACUAGAGUGCGGUAGGGGAGAUUGGAAUUCCUGGUGUAGCGGUGGAAUGCGCAGAUAUCAGGAGGAACACCAAUGGCGAAGGCAGAUCUCUGGGCCGUAACUGACGCUGAGGAGCGAAAGCAUGGGGAGCGAACAGG
rnacentral:rRNA from 1 species